UACGACUACAUAUCAGGCAUAUCAAUAAGCGGAGGAAAAGAAACUAACUAGGAUUCCCUUAGUAACGGCGAGUGAAGCGGGAAGAGCUCAAAUUUGAAAUCUUCAAGGUUCUACCUUGACGAAUUGUAGUUUAAAGAAGUGUUUUCUGUUGGAGUUUUGGUAAAAGCUCUUUGGAAUAGGACAUCAUAGAGGGUGAGAAUCCCGUAUUUGACCAUUAUUUCCAACUUUGUGAUACACUUUCAAAGAGUCGGAUUGUUUGGGAAUGCAGUCCAAAAUGGGUGGUAAAUUUCAUCUAAAGCUAAAUAUUGGCGAGAGACCGAUAGCGAACAAGUACCGUGAGGGAAAGAUGAAAAGAACUUUGAAAAGAGAGUUAAACAGUACGUGAAAUUGUCAAAAGGGAAGCGUUUGACACCAGUGUUGUUUUCUCGAAAAUCAAUUAAAAAUGCUUGAUUUUGUGUUGUAUUGACCUUAUAAGCUUUCUGCACUUUUUUCAUGUCUUUUUUAAUGCACUUUUCGUUUAACAAGUCAACAUCAAUUUCUUUUGUUGUAAAAGGGUCAUUGGAAGGUGGCUUUCACUUUCGGUGAAAGUGUUUAUAGCCUUUGACUCCUGCAAUCGGAGAGACUGAGGUCUGCAGCGUAGAUCCUUUGGAUUAGAUUACAGUUAGAUGCUAAGUUAUAGCUUUUUCAUAGACAACAUGUUGACUAUGAUUUAAUCAUUGUAGCUUACUCGCUUAUGGUAUUUUACCUACGCUUAGGAUGUUGACGCGCGUGUGUGCGUG
rnacentral:rRNA from 1 species